CCUACGGGGGGCAGCAGUGGGGAAUAUUGGACAAUGGGGGCAACCCUGAUCCAGCCAUGCCGCGUGUGUGAAGAAGGCCCUCGGGUUGGAAAGCACUUUCAGUGAGGAAGAACGCCUGGUGGUUAAUACCCAUCAGGAAAGACAUCACUCACAGAAGAAGCACCGGCUAACUCCGUGCCAGCAGCCGCGGUAAUACGGAGGGUGCGAGCGUUAAUCGGAAUUACUGGGCGUAAAGCGCGCGUAGGUGGCUUGAUAAGCCGGUUGUGAAAGCCCCGGGCUCAACCUGGGAACGGCAUCCGGAACUGUCAAGCUAGAGUGCAGGAGAGGAAGGUAGAAUUCGCGGUGUAGCGGUGAAAUGCGUAGAGAUCGGGAGGAAUACCCGUGGCGAAGGCGGCCUUCUGGACUGACACUGACACUGAGGUGCGAAAGCGUGGGUAGCAAACAGGAUUAGAUACCCCAGUAGUU
rnacentral:rRNA from 1 species